rnacentral:tRNA from 1 species
GCCGGGGUGGCAGAGCGGAAACUAAGCCACAGAUGCGUCGGCCUCGAGAGCCGAUGGCCCCUGCGGGCCUCGUGGGUUCAAAUCCCACCCCCGGCG